rnacentral:misc_RNA from 1 species
AAGUCGUAACAAGGUAUCCGUAGGUGAACCUGCGGAUGGAUCAUUAUAGGAUGUUGGGUGAUUGUGAGUGGUUUUAUUAUUAGUAGUUUGAGUGGUGUUGGCUGGGAUGCUUGCAGGCCAGCCAACAUUGGCUCGCGUUAAACUCUAUAAAUCUAAACAAUAAUUACAUCCAUCAAAAAACAACUUUUAGCAACGGAUCUCUUGGCUCUC